UCUCGACCUCAGAUCAAGCGAGAAUACCCGCUGAAUUUAAGCAUAUAAAUAAGCGGAGGAAAAGAAACCAAACG
rnacentral:rRNA from 1 species